GGGGCUGAUUCUGGAUUCGACGGGAUUCGCGAAACCCAAGGUGCAUGCCGAGGGGCGGUUGGCCUCGUAAAAAGCCGCAAAAAAAUAGUCGCAAACG
rnacentral:tmRNA from 6 species